rnacentral:rRNA from 1 species
GACAGAGGUGCCGAGCGUUAGGCGGAAUCACUGGGCUUAAAGCGUGUGUAGGCGGAUCUGUAAGUACCUUGUGAAAUCCCACGGCUCAACCGUGGAACUGCUUGGUAUACUGCGGGUCUUGAGCCACCUAGGGGCAAGUGGAACAAACGGUGGAGCGGUGAAAUGCGUAGAUAUCGUUUGGAACGCCAAUGGUGAAAACAGCUUGCUGGGAGUGUGCUGACGCUGAGACACGAAAGCCAGGGGAGCAAACGGG